UACGUAGGGGGCUAGCGUUGUCCGGAAUCAUUGGGCGUAAAGAGCGUGUAGGCGGCCCGGUAAGUCCGCUGUGAAAGUCGGGGGCUCAACCCUCGGAUGCCGGUGGAUACUGUCGGGCUCGAGUACGGAAGAGGCGAGUGGAAUUCCUGGUUUAGCGGUGAAAUGCGCAGAUAUCAGGAGGAACACCUAUUGCGAAGGCAGCUCGCUGGGACGUUACUGACGCUGAGACGCGAAAGCGUGGGGAGCAAACAGG
rnacentral:rRNA from 1 species